ACUCCUGCGGGAGGCAGCAGUGGGGAAUUUUGGACAAUGGGCGAAAGCCUGAUCCAGCCAUGCCGCGUGCAGGAUGAAGGCCUUCGGGUUGUAAACUGCUUUUGUACGGAACGAAACGGCCUUUUCUAAUAAAGAGGGCUAAUGACGGUACCGUAAGAAUAAGCACCGGCUAACUACGUGCCAGCAGCCGCGAUAAUACGUAGGGUGCAAGCGUUAAUCGGAAUUACUGGGCGUAAAGCGUGCGCAGGCGGUUAUGUAAGACAGUUGUGAAAUCCCCGGGCUCAACCUGGGAACUGCAUCUGUGACUGCAUAGCUAGAGUACGGGAGAGGGGGAUGGAAUUCCGCGUGUAGCAGUGAAAUGCGUAGAUAUGCGGAGGAACACCGAUGGCGAAGGCAAUCCCCUGGACCUGUACUGACGCUCAUGCACGAAAGCGUGGGGAGCAAACAGGAUUAGAAACCCCUGUAGUCCCAUG
rnacentral:rRNA from 1 species